rnacentral:rRNA from 1 species
AAUGAACGCUGGCGGCGCGCCUAAUACAUGCAAGUCGAGCGAGAAGACGUAGCAAUACGUUUGUAAAGCGGCGAACGGGUGAGGAAUACAUGGGUAACCUACCCUCGAGUGGGGAAUAACUAGCCGAAAGGUUAGCUAAUACCGCGUACGCUUCUUGGACUUCGGUUCAGGGAGGAAAGCGAUACCGUGGGUAUCGCGCUCUUGGAUGGGCUCAUGUCCUAUCAGCUUGUUGGUGAGGUAACGGCUCACCAAGGCUUCGACGGGUAGCUGGUCUGAGAGGACGAUCAGCCACACUGGCACUGCGACACGGGCCAGACUCCUACGGGAGGCAGCAGUAGGGAAUCUUGCGCAAUGGGC